UACACUGGAGAACAAAGGGAACUCAAGGUUUUUCCACACACUUCACCUGUAAGUAGAAGUUAAUCCUGUAGAGGGCAGCUGCCAAUCCUGGCUCCUCUUCCAGGAGUUUCAGGGAUUCCUGCAUAUUGGACAGGUGGCUGUAUGGGAUAGAUUGUCAUUUGGGGAUUUUUUGCUGUACACACUUAUUUAAAAAAAAAAAAAAGUAACUCGGUGAAUACCUUGCAGUGGUGUGUUUGAUUCUUUAGACUGGCUUCAGCAUUGUGCAAUUUAAGAAUAAAUGACAUAAAUAACUUGAGCAUAUAUAAAUUUUGAAUUGUAUAAACUAUACCUUUGAGUCCUUUCUUUUCCUAGUGGUGAAAAAUAUUGGGGGCAGGUGUGGGAAGUGAAGAGGGUGGUUGUGAGCGUGGAGGGUCCCAGUGUGCCCCCUAGGGCUGUAACUAAAGGAGACCCCCAGUUCUUUGAAGACAGUUUAGCCAGAAUUGUCUGUAUGGCCUUUUCCUGUCUCCUUGCCCCACCAGGUGGCAGCCAAGCUUUGACUUCUACCCUUGAAUUCUGGAGGAGCCUGAUAUCUGUGUAAAGCACUGGUUUCUGAAACCAGUUAGUUGUGCUUUAGUAGAUCAAUGAUGUCAUUUAGUCUGCUGUAUUGAGAAGGCUAUAAAAAUGCAUGAAGGGGCUGGGGUUGUGGCCCAGUGGCAGAGCACUCACCUAGCGUGUGAGGCACUGGUUUCGAUUCUCAACACCAGGUAUAAAGAUCCAUUGACAACUAAAAAUUUUUUUUAAAAAAUAGUAAAAUGAAACACUAAACAACCCUCUUGCUUUCUUUGAAGACAGGAGAGUAGGUACCUAGCCUUGAUUUAUUCCCACUGCCUUGGGUAAACUAUCCACCCUGUGUCCUCCUUAGUUUUGGCCCAUGUUCUCUGUGCUGUGUGCCCACACUGCAGGGCAGUGGGCCUUAGCACCAGACUGGAGAGCAGAGGCAGCCUGAGGGUUUUUAGGCAGAAGGUAUGUCCUGUGGGUAUUCUCUCUGGUGACUAAGCACCCCACCUCUUGCCCCCUCCUGGAACUUCCAGGCCCAACACAACAGGCUCAGCUAUUCUCUAGUUCCGCUGCACCCAAAGGCUGCAGCUGCUCUGGACCCUGAUUUGGAGUUGCCAUCGUUGAGGUGGCCCGUCUUUCCAUCAGUUUCCCUCAUCUGUAAGAUCAGAUAAUGCUACUAAUCUCAUAAGAAAUAAAUCUCAGGAUUGUCCCCUGUUUAUCCAGAGCUGGGCCCCAGCAAGUUCUUCCGUGGUCUUUGCUGUUGCCCGAGACCUAGUGGUCGUUGGGUGUGACUUUGGCCCAGCCACGCUACACCUGGGUUUAACCUUCGUGUGUGUGAUCUAGUCUGGCUGCUGUGCAAGGGUGUCCACGGGGCCUUCAGACACAUUUGAGGAGAGCUGGCGAAGCCUGGUGUACAGAUUGGACUUUGAGGGGUCUCCAGCUGAAGAGAGCAGGAUUCUGGCACAGGGAGCAGGUGUGGGAGGGCAGGACUGAAGCCCAGGCAGUCCUGACAAGACAGAAGAACCUCCUGUGAGAUGGACAAGAGGCGAUGAAAGCAGGAUCCUCAGGUAAGACCCGCGGGGCUUGGUGACGGGAGUGUAGGUGAGGGCAGGGGCUGUGCUCUCAUGGUCGUGAGGUCAUAUUUUUUUGAGGAUGGCUUCAAGAAACAUGGCUCAGUAUUUGGGGGGGGGGAAGCAAGUUGGAAGAUGGUGAAGGGCGUGUAUUCUUUGAAUAAAUUCUUCUUACAUUGCUUUUGAUUAAUUUUAUUUUUAUUUAUUUUUUUAGAGAGAGAGAAUUUUAAUAUUUGUUGUUUAGUUUUGUUUUUUUUUCCGG
rnacentral:lncRNA from 1 species